AUGUGCAGAGCAGCUUGCAGAGGUCUUCACAGACAUUUUCAACCUGUCCCUCACCCAAGCAACUGUGCGAACAUGUUUAAGUCCACAUCCAUUUUGCUAGUGCCAAAAAACUCCUCCCCAAUGUGCCUGAAUGACUACUGCCCUGUAGCACUCACACCUAUUGUUAUGAAGUGCUUUGAGCGACUGGUCCUAGCACACCUCAAGGACUGCCUCCCACCCACACUGGACCCACACCAAUUUGCCUACCGUAACAGUAGGAGCACAGAGGAUGCAGUAUGCACAGUGCUGCACUCGGUACUCACACACCUGGACAAUAACAGCACAUAUGUACGGAUGUUGUUUGUUGACUUCAACUUAGCAUUUAACAUUGUCAUUCCCUCCAAGCUGACCACAAAACUUGGAGACCUGGACAUUAACACCUCCCUCUGCAACUGGAUUAUGGACUUUCUGACCAACAGACUUCAGCAUUUUAAGUCAGGCUACACCUGCUCCCCCACCAUCACACUCAACACCGGCGUACCACAGGGCUGUGUGCUGAGCCCAUUCCUCUACUCCCUCUACACCCAGGACUGCAAGCCUGUGCAUGGAUCCAAUUCCAUCAAGUUUGCAGAUAACACCACGGUGAUUGGCCUCAUCAGGGACAACGAUGAGACUGCCUACAUGGAGGAGGUACAGCACCUGGCCGCAUGGUGCACUGACAACAACCUGCUCCUUAACACCAGUAAGAGAAAGGAGCUCAUUGUGGACUUCAGGAAGAAGAAAGGAAGCAAGCAUGACACCAUCCACAUUAACGGGAUGGUUGUUGAACAUGUCUCCAGCUUUAAGUUCCUGGGAACCACCAUCUCAGAGGACCUGUCCUGGACCACAAACGCCUCCAGCCUGAUCAAGAAGGCUCAUCAGCGCCUCUUCUUCCUUAGGACACUGAAGAAGAACAAGCUGUCUUCAUCCAUCCUGGUGAACUUUUACCGGUGUGUGAUUGAGAACAUCCUGACCAGUAGUAUCACAGUCUGA
ensembl:lncRNA